CCAGUGAGGGGGGAAGGGCAGGAGUUCAGUCUUCCGUGGCCGGAGAUUUCACCCAUCGUGCCUAGGUAAUGAAGCCCCAGCAGAAACUCAAAAGGAGGGUUUAGGAAGGCUUCCAGGUUGGUGGACACAUCGGGGUGCUGGGGGAGCAGACAGAGAGAGA